rnacentral:rRNA from 1 species
UAGGGAAUCUUCGGCAAUGGGGGCAACCCUGACCGAGCAGCGCCGCGUGAGUGAAGGAGGUUUUCGGAUCGUAAAGCUCUGUUGUAAGAGAAGAACGAGUGUGAGAGUGGAAAGUUCACACUGUGACGGUAACUUACCAGAAAGGGACGGCUAACUACGUGCCAGCAGCCGCGGUAAUACGUAGGUCCCGAGCGUUAUCCGGAUUUAUUGGGCGUAAAGCGAGCGCAGGCGGUUAGAUAAGUCUGAAGUUAAAGGCUGUGGCUUAACCAUAGUACGCUUUGGAAACUGUUUAACUUGAGUGCAGAAGGGGAGAGUGGAAUUCCAUGUGUAGCGGUGAAAUGCGUAGAUAUAUGGAGGAACACCGGUGGCGAAAGCGGCUCUCUGGUCUGUAACUGACGCUGAGGCUCGAAAGCGUGGGGAGCAAACAGGAUUAGAUACCCUGGUAGUCCACGCCGUAAACGAUGAGUGCUAGGUGUUGGGUCCUUUCCGGGACUCAGUGCCGCAGCUAACGCAUUAAGCACUCCGCCUGGGGAGUACGACCGCAAGGUUG